rnacentral:misc_RNA from 1 species
AACAUCGCGCACCUGCGGGAACCUGCGGAAGGAUCAUUAACAAGCUGUGGGAGAUCAAUUUGAUCUCACACCUGGCCAACCUUGUUAACCUUAAAUAUAUUGCUUUGGUGAGCCCUGCUCACCAAAGUCAAACCCUAAACUCUUGAUUUUUUCUGCUGUCUGAGCAUGCAAGUGCAAAAUUUAGUUAAAAAACUUUUAACAAUGGAUCU